UACGUAGGGGGCAAGCGUUGUCCGGAUUUAUUGGGCGUAAAGAGCGUGUAGGCGGCCAAACAGGUCCACUGUGAAAACUCGAGGCUCAACCUCGAGAGGUCGGUGGAAACCGUCUGGCUAGAGUGCCGGAGGGGAGAGUGGAAUUCCUGGUGUAGCGGUGAAAUGCGUAGAUAUCGAGAGGAACACCUGCGGCGAAGGCGGGUAGCUGGGCCGACACUGACGCUGAGGCGCGAAAGCCAGGGGAGCGAACGGG
rnacentral:rRNA from 1 species